rnacentral:sRNA from 1 species
UAACCUCGUGUAAGUCUUGGAUCAAGUUAUCAAGUGCUGGGUCUUCUAAUUGGUCUGGCCAAAAAUGAAACAGCUCGCUUAACUCAGCCUUUUCAACCAUUGUACGAACACGCAGCUACAACAGGAGAGAUAAUAAAACCCAUCAGUAUGUUUAACUCAGCCAUCACUUAAUAUAACUCAGUCGUCACUUAAUAUAACUCAGCCAUUAUAGAACAUAAUUCAGUCGUCACAUAACAUAUUUGCCAAAAAAAAAGAAUAUAACUCAGCCUUCACAGAGAAAAAUAAAACAUUAACUCAGCCGUAACAUAAAUAUUUGAUAAAAAACAGAACAUAACAGAGCCGAAACCGUACCUCACCACCAUUCGCUUUGAUAUCUUCAGCAAUGACCGAUUCUAUAGUUGAACGGGUACGGCUGCCACCCCAUCUAAGCAACGGAAUCUCAUCCGCGUUAACAGCGUUCCCAAAACGCUCAGCGAUGGUGAUGAUUGACUCAUACGCCCAAGCCUGCAACACGAAAACCAGACCACUGACAGUGUACGUCUUGCCAAUAGGCCUCAGCAACUUUAUAGAAACGACAAGGGCUUCAUAUGCUGCCCGACCCCAUGGAUAAGUCUUCAUGGCUUCGUCGUCGAAAACUCUUUUGGCACUCUCAAAUGGUAUCCUAGAGUUAGUAUGCAAGCCAAAAAGUCCAAUGGAUAGAAGAGUCAAUAACCCAAACCAUCUACGUUUUUCAGUAGGCCAAGCUCUGCACGUUACUAAGCCCUGCCUAAGUUCAUCUAGAUUAGGACCUUCACCGGUUGGCACACGCAAUUCACUGAAGAACGCUUUGUAGUCAGCUUCAGGCUCAAACUUUUCUGUAGGCAGAUCAUCUAUAUUUAAACCAGUGAUAUGAUGAAAUUCGUUCAAUCCAAACCGGAUGGGUUUACCAGCCACGAUACACCAAAGCUCCUUCUUCAGUAUUCUCAGCUGUCUGCAUAGUAGAUAAUGUACGGUCUUACCAGACCAGAGAAAAUGACUAUCAACAAGCUUAGCAAUUAAUCCAAGCUCUGUCUCUUUCAGUUCUGCCCAUAUUUCUUCUCCUAUUGAUUCUCUAAUUGCAGGGAACUCUCCCAGCUUUAUAUUAUGAUUAAUGCCUUUACCCUCCAGAUUAGAAUCCCCCUCUUGGUAAAGUCUUGGAGGGUACUCCCUUGCUUGGUCUUCAGACAUCUGUAUAACCAUAAAUCAGCCGUAAGCAUUCCAUAACUCAGUCAUAACAUAAAACAAACUCAUCCACAGAUACCAUAACUCAGGCAAAACAUAAAUCUAACUCAGCCAUAGAUAACAUAACUCAGUCAUAACAUAAACCUAUCUCAGCCAUAGAUAACAUAACUCAGUCAUAACAUAAACCUAUCUCAGCCACACAUAACAUAACUCAGCCAUAAGAUAAAUCUAACUCAGCCAUAUUUUAACAGAAACUCAGUCAAACCAUAACAUAACAACAGCUCAGUUAAAACAUAAACCAGACUCAGCUAUAUCAAAACAGAAACUCAGCCAUAACAUAAACAAACUCAGCCGUCAUAUAACAGAAACUCAGACAUCGAUGUAAGGUUAAACCAUAACUCAGUCACAGCAUAAAAAAAACUCAGACACGGAUGAAUUGAUAAAUCAUAAAUCAGUCGGCAAACAAACAGUAACUCAGCCGUCAAAUCAAAUAGAUCUAAGAAAUCGGCCACCAUAUGUCAAUCAACGUCGACGUUAAAACCCAGCUUUAAAAACCAUCGUUACGCAUCGGAAAACGAUUUCAGUGACGGGAAUCACUUGAGAUUGAACUUAGAUGUCAGAGUCUUACUUCAUUGAAAGAUACUCACCGGAACUUAGAUGUCGAAUGUGACUUCGCGCUUACGUAAAUGCGACUCCGGCGUCUGAAUUUCGGCCGGAACAGACGAGAAAAGAGCAAAACGGCGAAAGAAAUCGAUUUCGUUCCGUCGAGAGAGAAAGUGGAAGAAAGCGACAGUUUUUUUUUUUUUUGGGAGAUGAUGAACAGUAAAGCUAAGAAAUAAGAAACCCAAACGUUAUGGAGUUUGGAGAUAAUUAAUGACGUGGAUUAUGGUAAUGACAUGGAAUAAUGACAUGUAUAAUCACUGUUUUUUCAUUUAAUUUUUAGUUAAAAACGAAUUAAAUAAUAAUAAU